rnacentral:rRNA from 1 species
CCUACGGGAUGCAGCAGUGAGGAAUAUUGGUCAAUGGCCGGAAGGCUGAACCAGCCAUGCCGCGUGAAGGUCAGUGCCCUAUGGGCGUUAAACUUCUUUUGUGCGGGAGCAAUAAUGGUCACGUGUGGCCAGACGAGAGUACCGUACGAAUAAGCAUCGGCUAACUCCGUGCCAGCAGCCGCGGUAAUACGGGGGAUGCAAGCGUUAUCCGGAUUUAUUGGGUUUAAAGGGUGCGUAGGCGGGGAGGUAAGUCAGGUGUGAAAUGCCCCCGCUCAACGGGGUGAAGUGACAUUGAUACUGCCUUGCUGGAAUGCGGAUGCGGUGGGAGGAAUGUGUGGUGUAGCGGGGAAAUGCAUAGAUAUUACACAGAACACCGAUUGCGAAGGCAUCUCACGAAUCCGUGAUUGACGCUGAUGCACGAAAGCGUGGGUAUCAAACAGGAUUAGAUACCCUUGUAGUC